rnacentral:sRNA from 1 species
UUGCGUUAAGGGUUGCAGCGGCAUCCUUUUUUCUAUUUCAGAAAAAAGAUACAGCGGAAAACCUGACCACGC